rnacentral:rRNA from 1 species
UACAGAGGUCUCAAGCGUUGUUCGGAUUCAUUGGGCGUAAAGGGUGCGUAGGCGGCGCGGUAAGUCGGGUGUGAAAUCUCGGGGCUUAACUCCGAAACUGCAUUCGAUACUGCCGUGCUUGAGGACUGGAGAGGAGACUGGAAUUUACGGUGUAGCGGUGAAGAUGCGUAGAUAUCGUAAGGAAGACCAGUGGCGAAGGCGGGUCUCUGGACAGUUCCUGACGCUGAGGCACGAAGGUCAGGGGAGCAAACGGG